rnacentral:rRNA from 1 species
UGGGGAAUCUUGGACAAUGGGGGCAACCCUGAUCCAGCCAUGCCGCGUGAGUGAUGAAGGCCUUAGGGUCGUAAAGCUCUUUCGCCUGUGAAGAUAAUGACGGUAGCAGGUAAAGAAACCCCGGCUAACUCCGUGCCAGCAGCCGCGGUAAUACGGAGGGGGUUAGCGUUGUUCGGAAUUACUGGGCGUAAAGCGCACGUAGGCGGACCAGAAAGUUGGGGGUGAAAUCCCGGGGGCUCAACCCCGGAACUGCCUCCAAAACUAUUGGUCUAGAGUCCGGUAGGGAGACUGGAAUUCCUGGUGUAGCGGUGGAAUGCGCAGAUAUCAGGAGGAACACCGGUGGCGAAGGCGGGUCUCUGGGCCGGAACUGACGCUGAGGUGCGAAAGUGUGGGGAGCAAACAGGAUUAGAUACCCUGGUAGUCCACACCGUAAACGAUGAAUGCCAGUCGUCGGGUAGCAUGCUAUUCGGUGACACACCUAACGGAUUAAGCAUUCCGCCUGGGGAGUACGGUCGC